CUCUGGGAAGCGGUGCUCAUGACAACCAACAUAAACAAGUUUCAGUAGCUAUAUUUAUCCGUUGGUUUCACAAAACGGGGUGCCAAACCCAAGGAAAGCUGCUGCCAUUGCUUUCUGUGGGGACCAGUACUAUGAAAUAAUUGGAUCUAUUUAACAAAGCAUGGACGAAAGGUUCGAUGCUUGAAUAGAAUCUCCAGAUUCAUGGCAGCGAGGCAGAAUAAAGGUAUUGACGAGGGAGAGGUAUUACAUGGCCAUCCUCUGGGUGUUUCCCCCUUUCCACAUGCCAGGGGUUUAUACCAACCAUCUGUAAUUUUCAUGGGUCGGCAGACUUCCAGAGAGUCCAGGGCUGAAGAUGCCACCAUAAGUGUACACUUACAAGAAGCCGAGCAUCAUUCGCCCCAAUCAUCGCUCACGUGCCUCGGAAUACCGGCAAAGUGGCCUUUUUGAAGGACUCCAAAGUUUCCAGAGAGGUUGUUGCCGACAGCGGAGCGCAUUUAUCAGAUGACAUUUCGGGCUCAAACGAUUCCCCCGACGGCUGUAAUUUGAGUGACAAACAUGAAAGGAUGGCAGCAGUGGUUCCAUCCAGCUUAACAGCCAGCGCCAGUGUGCCUUUUGGAUGUGAUUAACAAUCUCCUACACCUCGAGUGACCUUGACGAGGCCUGAGAAGAAUAGCCUAUCAUCCCAGCAGUAUCAGCCAUAUGUCUGACAGGAAUUCACCUGCAGAAUACACUCAGUAGAGGGUCUGCCCACCAGGAUAGCAUAAAAAAAGAAGUUGGAGAGAGUCUUGCAAAGAUCACCAACUCAAACUGACUUGGGAAAAUAAUCUCAAGAUGUGCCAGAGAGGAGUGAAGACCUCAGUAUAUCCAGUUCCAGUGGAGCUGUCAGUGAUCAGGAGUGGCAGUGACCUGUCAAUCUCCCUGACCGAGUCUGACCUGGCUGAGGUACCAACGGUGCCACAUAAUGUCGUCUAUGUAGACGGCCAUAGCAGGAGGACAGACACCCAGGGACAGGGAUCUCCACAGCAUCAGCAUACCCAAUCAAGAAUCACUUGACACUCCAGAGCCUAGGAACGGAUCUGAACCAAAUAGAGAAUCCAUGUCUUAAGGAAUACCAUUGGAGAGCUCCUGUCUCCCACCUGACGCUGCUCCUCUGGGAUCACUGGUUCAAGCACACCCUUCUGCUGAAGGACCACCAUGUCCUCACCACCGAGCGCCUCGUCCAGCUGUUCACUCCACUGCUACUGCCGCACAAUGCCUCCUAUAGCACCAAGGACUACAAAGUGGUGAAGAGGACAGCCAGGACGAGAGCCCCGUGGAAAGUAUUCCUAUUGGAGGAGAGAAAAGACAAAACUGAAAACCUACUCUGCAGUACAGUCUAAAGGUGAGUUAGGAAUGCAGACACAUCCGUCCUAAAUAAUGCUGUCUCUAUUUCUGUUUCUCAUCCUGAAGUAAGCUAGUUGAUAGCAAUAUUAUGAACCACUUGAGAUGUUAUGCUAAUGACAGAAUCAUCCAUCUAUGCGUGGUUCACAAAUGGGUGUGAAAAGGGCACAUGGACAAUUAUUCAAUAUCUUGCUCUCUGUUAUAGCAAUGCUACAUCUGUAAUUAGUAUAGAUUUCACAAUGAUCAUAUCAGUUCUUGUUUGGAUUUGAAUACCCCCAUCUCUGCUUUUAUGAAUGUCAUGAUUCAGUAUCAUGCCUCAAAUGUUGGUUCUGUGUUAUUUAUAUUUUUGGGGAGAUUCAGACGAUAGCAACUCCAAGAUAGAAGCUGCCUUACGUCCUCAGCCCUACAAUACGAACAAUGACAACUCUGAGGAUUAUUAUGACUGACUACCUGAGUAAAGGGAUUAUUAUUAUGACUAUUAUUUUAACCCCCUUUUCUCCCUAAUUUCGAUCUUGUUUCAUCGCUGCAACUCCAAUGGGCUCGGGAGGGAAGGUCGAGUCAUGCGUCCUCCGACACAUGACUCGCCAAUCUGCGGUGCUUAACACUCGCCCGCCUGCCAGCCACACCAAUGUGUCGGAAGAAACACUGUUCAACUGACGACCGAGGUCAGCCUGCAGGCGCCCGCCACAAGGAGUCGCUAAAGCACGUAGAGCCAAAUAAAGCCCCACCCGCCAAAUCCAUCCCUAACCCAGACGACGCUGGACCAAUUAUGCGCCACCCUAUUGGACUCCCGAUCACGGCCGCUUAUGAUACAGCCCGGGAUUGAACCUGGGUCUGUAGUGACACCUCUAGCACUGCGAUGCAGUGCCUUAGACCGCUGCGCCACUCGGGAGGCUAGAGAAAAGGGAUUCUUAACAGAAGCUGCUGAGAAAGCUUUAGAGAAUGUCACCAUACUGUUUAAUUUUUUUCUUCCAUCCAUUACCCUUAUCUGGCUAGAUCAUUUUAACAUUGUAAAAUGUAUGCAUACUGUAUCGUACAAGAAUAAUAAUAAUAAACCUGAUGCCUCUUACUGUG